ACAGAAGACGAAGAGCUGGAAUAGAGCUCGCCUCGGCUCUGCUGGCCUUGGCUGCAGCUCUUCCAGAAACCCGGGGCGCCCACAGAAGAAUCUCUUACCUGGCUCUCUCUUCAGGGAUGACAUCAUCGGCUCACACCAGUCUUCCAGGACCACCUUCUGGAUGCCAAGGCUGCUGCUCGAGUACCUGCUGUGCACCUCUACCUCCUGGUACCCCAGCCACUCCCUCAAGUUGCCUGCAUGUUAUAUGGCCUAGCCAAGGAGCACGGAUUCCAGGAACCCACUACCAUACAGAGCAACUCCUUGUGGACCCCCCUGGGAUCAGGACAGCGAGGGACAAGCGACAAAGAGGAUCAUCAGUGGCCAGCUAGUUUCUCUGGGGUUCAAACCUUGAACCAGUGCCCUAGUGAGGGGGCACUGGCCAUGGCCCUUGACCUUUGCUCUGCUUGUGUCUUGAGUCUGAGCCCUUUCCUGUACAUCUGUGCUCGUGUUCAUCUGCUAGUGAACUGGAGUGCUGCCCUCCCCGAGGAGGGUCGUCCCUUGUGACUGAUCAUGCUGUCCUAACAAUGUCCUGAGCAAAAGGGUCCCUUUGGGAACCUCUCAGGAGGGGGACCCGGGUCAGGGGCGACCAGCAUCUUGCUGGCAACUCCGUGGGUGGGGUGGGGUGGGGUGCUUCCUUCUGGAAUGAGCACGUGGCUGACCCCCCAAGGCAUGUCCCCUCCCCCUCCUCCACCCACCUUCUCGGAGAUGUCCCUUUUGGGGUAGUGGGGACAUUAGGAGCAACCUCCUAGGGUUGUUGUGAGAAUUAAAUGAACUGCAGCAGCCUGAGGCAGGGCUGGGCAGAGACCUCAGCACAUGUUUGUUGAAAGGUUUGCAGGUGGAUCUAGUCCUCCCGUUCAUGGCUCAUGUGUCUCAACCAUUCUCUCGCAGACUCCUGCAGCCCCUAUGCCCAGGGCUCUCCUUGCGCCAGAGGUAGGUGGGAAAGAGAACUGGGAGAGCCCGGACUCACUCAUGAGAUUGAACUUAAAUUCACACGGAGGACACUUGGACUCUUGCCACAUUAGGUUUAAGGCUUGGCUUGCUGGCCCUGGAGAUCCCGUCGCCGUCUUCGUCGAACUCGAAAUCCUAGCCAUCGUCCUUCCCUGGCCUGUCGCGUCUUCCUGUGCCAUUUGCUGUUGUGCUCAGGUUCCACGAGCUGCCCAUCUCCACAGAAGAGCAGCUGGCAUUGCCCACCGGCCAUGCCGGCUGAAGAAAAGAAGACUGAGGACCCCAGGAUGCCCAGCGCGAGGACCCCAGGAAGCCCAGCGCGAGGACUCCACCCACGACGCCCAGCGCGAGGACUUCACGCACAACACGUUGCAACCCUCCUGGAUUAGGCCAAAGCCAUCAUCUGGAAUCCUGCGUGGGACCCUGGACACACGGACACAGACACCUGCCCCCAGGACCCUCCAACUGUAAAUCCCUCUACAGCCACGGGGACGCCUUGCACAUUUCCUGUGGGACAUGCUGGACCCAAGACUCUGGACCCUGGCCUCCCCUUGAGUAGAGAGACCCACCUACUGACUGAUGAACUGCGCUGACCCUGGGGUCAGGCAUGUGGCCUUGAUCCCUACCCAUGGACCCUGAGACUUGGGGGGGUGGGAGAAAGGCUGUUGUGUCUUCACUGUUGAGUCUACAUCUGUGAAAUGGGCUCAGGUUCCUACCUCACAGGGCUGUUGUGAGGCAGCCGCAAUGUGCUUAGAAGCAUGGGGCCUAGUGGCUCAUGGUGCUUUCAAUAAAUUUCUUGUUUUAACUAAA
rnacentral:lncRNA from 1 species